rnacentral:lncRNA from 1 species
ACCUCCUGGCGUUUCCUGCCCUCGAGCACUAGAGCCUCCCGCCCCACGGAGGAAAUCCAUUUCCUCCUAGUCUAUCCGAAGUAGAUCCAUGGCCACAGAGCUUCGUUUCCGACUCAGUGAUCUCCCCACAGGGGAAACGAGAUCCGUCAGAGCUCCGUUUUCUGUUAUAUGAACGAGGUUAAUGACUCAUGUGGCCUCAUUGGGCAGCUAAGAGGCGCCAACGAGAGUUUCUGGGAGGACUUCUGUAAAAUGCAAGGGGCUGAGCACGCGAGAGUUAGGGUGAUGGCCUCUGCUGGGAAGUGUCCACUUACGGGGGGCUUUUCAAACCCUUGCAAACUCUAAACGACGUUCUGCGCCCCUCAGGUUAUUAAUAAGAAUGGCUGCCGUGGCUUCAUAGUCCUUAUGUAAUCAUUGCAUCCCUAUUACCUGAUGGAUGCAGGAGGCAGAUACUAUCCUAUUUCACAAACCAGGAAACAGCCUGAGGACACAAAACCCUUCAGAAGGAAGCAAGGACGAAUCCUGACCCGUUCCCAGAACGGGGCCUUUAACCAACAUCCUUUGGUCAUACCCAGGGCACUGCCUAAACUCGCGUCUGUCAGGAUAUCUUUCUCUCCAAGCAGAAAACCAGAGAGCUGGGUGGGCUGGGUCAGGCUCUGGCCAAGGACUCCUGACAAUUGCCAGCUCCGCCUGCUGCCACUGAUACCCCCGCCCCCUAGUCCAGUCCACCGUUUCUGACCUGAGCGGCAGCAACUCGAUAGGGACUCCCUGCUUCCCCUCUUGAAGCCAGAGAGACCUUAUAACUAGAAUCGGUGUCUUGGGUCACGCCUCUCCUCUGCUGCUUCUAAUCACA